rnacentral:rRNA from 1 species
GGUUAAGCGACUAAGCGUACACGGUGGAUGCCCUGGCAGUCAGAGGCGAUGAAGGACGUGCUAAUCUGCGAUAAGCGUCGGUAAGGUGAUAUGAACCGUUAUAACCGGCGAUUUCCGAAUGGGGAAACCCAGUGUGAUUCGUCACACUAUCAUUAACUGAAUCCAUAGGUUAAUGAGGCGAACCGGGGGAACUGAAACAUCUAAGUACCCCGAGGAAAAGAAAUCAACCGAGAUUCCCCCAGUAGCGGCGAGCGAACGGGGAGGAGCCCAGAGCCUGAAUCAGUGUGUGUGUUAGUGGAAGCGUCUGGAAAGGCGCGCGAUACAGGGUGACAGCCCCGUACACAAAAAUGCACAUGCUGUGAGCUCGAUGAGUAGGGCGGGACACGUGGUAUCCUGUCUGAAUAUGGGGGGACCAUCCUCCAAGGCUAAAUACUCCUGACUGACCGAUAGUGAACCAGUACCGUGAGGGAAAGGCGAAAAGAACCCCGGCGAGGGGAGUGAAAAAGAACCUGAAACCGUGUACGUACAAGCAGUGGGAGCACAGAGCAAUCUGUGUGACUGCGUACCUUUUGUAUAAUGGGUCAGCGACUUAUAUUCUGUAGCAAGGUUAACCGAAUAGGGGAGCCGAAGGGAAACCGAGUCUUAACUGGGCGUUAAGUUGCAGGGUAUAGACCCGAAACCCGGUGAUCUAGCCAUGGGCAGGUUGAAGGUUGGGUAACACUAACUGGAGGACCGAACCGACUAAUGUUGAAAAAUUAGCGGAUGACUUGUGGCUGGGGGUGAAAGGCCAAUCAAACCGGGAGAUAGCUGGUUCUCCCCGAAAGCUAUUUAGGUAGCGCCUCGUGAAUUCAUCUCCGGGGGUAGAGCACUGUUUCGGCAAGGGGGUCAUCCCGACUUACCAACCCGAUGCAAACUGCGAAUACCGGAGAAUGUUAUCACGGGAGACACACGGCGGGUGCUAACGUCCGUCGUGAAGAGGGAAACAACCCAGACCGCCAGCUAAGGUCCCAAAGUCAUGGUUAAGUGGGAAACGAUGUGGGAAGGCCCAGACAGCCAGGAUGUUGGCUUAGAAGCAGCCAUCAUUUAAAGAAAGCGUAAUAGCUCACUGGUCGAGUCGGCCUGCGCGGAAGAUGUAACGGGGCUAAACCAUGCACCGAAGCUGCGGCAGCGACGCUUAUGCGUUGUUGGGUAGGGGAGCGUUCUGUAAGCCUGUGAAGGUGUACUGUGAGGUAUGCUGGAGGUAUCAGAAGUGCGAAUGCUGACAUAAGUAACGAUAAAGCGGGUGAAAAGCCCGCUCGCCGGAAGACCAAGGGUUCCUGUCCAACGUUAAUCGGGGCAGGGUGAGUCGACCCCUAAGGCGAGGCCGAAAGGCGUAGUCGAUGGGAAACAGGUUAAUAUUCCUGUACUUGGUGUUACUGCGAAGGGGGGACGGAGAAGGCUAUGUUGGCCGGGCGACGGUUGUCCCGGUUUAAGCGUGUAGGCUGGUUUUCCAGGCAAAUCCGGAAAAUCAAGGCUGAGGCGUGAUGACGAGGCACUACGGUGCUGAAGCAACAAAUGCCCUGCUUCCAGGAAAAGCCUCUAAGCAUCAGGUAACAUCAAAUCGUACCCCAAACCGACACAGGUGGUCAGGUAGAGAAUACCAAGGCGCUUGAGAGAACUCGGGUGAAGGAACUAGGCAAAAUGGUGCCGUAACUUCGGGAGAAGGCACGCUGAUAUGUAGGUGAAGUCCCUCGCGGAUGGAGCUGAAAUCAGUCGAAGAUACCAGCUGGCUGCAACUGUUUAUUAAAAACACAGCACUGUGCAAACACGAAAGUGGACGUAUACGGUGUGACGCCUGCCCGGUGCCGGAAGGUUAAUUGAUGGGGUUAGCGCAAGCGAAGCUCUUGAUCGAAGCCCCGGUAAACGGCGGCCGUAACUAUAACGGUCCUAAGGUAGCGAAAUUCCUUGUCGGGUAAGUUCCGACCUGCACGAAUGGCGUAAUGAUGGCCAGGCUGUCUCCACCCGAGACUCAGUGAAAUUGAACUCGCUGUGAAGAUGCAGUGUACCCGCGGCAAGACGGAAAGACCCCGUGAACCUUUACUAUAGCUUGACACUGAACAUUGAGCCUUGAUGUGUAGGAUAGGUGGGAGGCUUUGAAGUGUGGACGCCAGUCUGCAUGGAGCCGACCUUGAAAUACCACCCUUUAAUGUUUGAUGUUCUAACGUUGACCCGUAAUCCGGGUUGCGGACAGUGUCUGGUGGGUAGUUUGACUGGGGCGGUCUCCUCCUAAAGAGUAACGGAGGAGCACGAAGGUUGGCUAAUCCUGGUCGGACAUCAGGAGGUUAGUGCAAUGGCAUAAGCCAGCUUGACUGCGAGCGUGACGGCGCGAGCAGGUGCGAAAGCAGGUCAUAGUGAUCCGGUGGUUCUGAAUGGAAGGGCCAUCGCUCAACGGAUAAAAGGUACUCCGGGGAUAACAGGCUGAUACCGCCCAAGAGUUCAUAUCGACGGCGGUGUUUGGCACCUCGAUGUCGGCUCAUCACAUCCUGGGGCUGAAGUAGGUCCCAAGGGUAUGGCUGUUCGCCAUUUAAAGUGGUACGCGAGCUGGGUUUAGAACGUCGUGAGACAGUUCGGUCCCUAUCUGCCGUGGGCGCUGGAGAAUUGAGGGGGGCUGCUCCUAGUACGAGAGGACCGGAGUGGACGCAUCACUGGUGUUCGGGUUGUCAUGCCAAUGGCACUGCCCGGUAGCCUAAAUGCGGAAGAGAUAAGUGCUGAAAGCAUCUAAGCACGAAACUUGCCCCGAGAUGAGUUCUCCCUGACUCCUUGAGAGUCCUGAAGGAACGUUGAAGACGACGACGUUGAUAGGCCGGGUGUGUAAGCGCAGCGAUGCGUUGAGCUAACCGGUACUAAUGAACCGUGAGGCUUAACCUU